rnacentral:rRNA from 1 species
AUACGGAGGGUGCAAGCGUUAAUCGGAAUUACUGGGCGUAAAGGGCGCGUAGGUGGUUUGAUAAGUCAGAUGUGAAAUCCCUGGGCUUAACCUGGGAAUUGCAUUUGAUACUGUCAGACUAGAGAGCGGUAGAGGUAAGCGGAAUUCCCGGUGUAGCGGUGAAAUGCGUAGAUAUCGGGAAGAACAUCAGUGGCGAAGGCGGCUUACUGGAUCAACACUAACACUGAGGCGCGAAAGCGUGGGUAGCAAACAGGAUUAGAUACCCCAGUAGUCC